rnacentral:rRNA from 1 species
UGGGGAAUAUUGCACAAUGGGCGAAAGCCUGAUGCAGCGACGCCGCGUGAGGGAUGACGGCCUUCGGGUUGUAAACCUCUUUCAGCAGGGAAGAAGCGAAAGUGACGGUACCUGCAGAAGAAGCGCCGGCUAACUACGUGCCAGCAGCCGCGGUAAUACGUAGGGCGCAAGCGUUGUCCGGAAUUAUUGGGCGUAAAGAGCUCGUAGGCGGUUAGUCGCGUCUGCUGUGAAAACUCGAGGCUCAACCUCGGGCUUGCAGUGGGUACGGGCUGACUAGAGUGCAGUAGGGGUGACUGGAAUUCCUGGUGUAGCGGUGGAAUGCGCAGAUAUCAGGAGGAACACCGAUGGCGAAGGCAGGUCACUGGGCCGCAACUGACGCUGAGGAGCGAAAGCAUGGGGAGCGAACAGGAUUAGAUACCCUGGUAGUCCAUGCCGUAAACGUUGGGCACUAGGUGUGGGUCCAUUCCACGGAUUCCGUGCCGCAGCAAA